rnacentral:rRNA from 1 species
ACGUAGGGGGCAAGCGUUGUCCGGAUUUAUUGGGCGUAAAGAGCGUGUAGGCGGCCAGACAGGUCCGUUGUGAAAACUAGAGGCUCAACCUCUAGACGUCGAUGGAAACCGUCUGGCUAGAGUCCGGAAGAGGAGAAUGGAAUUCCUGGUGUAGCGGUGAAAUGCGCAGAUAUCAGGAAGAACACCCGUGGCUAAGGCGGUUCUCUAGUACGGUACUGACGCUGAGACGCGAAAGCGUGGGGAGCGAACAGGA